AAAGAUCGCAGCCUUCGGCAGCUCCUACAGGAAAAAUGCAUUCCAAAUGUAGGAGCUGCCGAAGGCUGCGAUCUUU
rnacentral:antisense_RNA from 1 species